GCCAGUGUGGUGUAGUGGUUUGAGCAUAGGACUUGGACUCUGGAGAUCAGGGUUCGAUUCUCAGCUCAGCCG